rnacentral:rRNA from 1 species
CCUACGGGUGGCAGCAGUGGGGAAUAUUGCACAAUGGGGGAAACCCUGAUGCAGCGACGCAGCGUGAGUGAAGAAGUAUUUCGGUAUGUAAAGCUCUAUCAGCAGGGAAGAAAAUGACGGUACCUGAUUAAGAAGCCCCGGCUAACUACGUGCCAGCAGCCGCGGUAAUACGUAGGGGGCAAGCGUUAUCCGGAUUUACUGGGUGUAAAGGGAGCGUAGACGGCAGCACAAGUCUGGAGUGAAAUGCCGGGGCUUAACCCCGGAACUGCUUUGGAAACUGUGCAGCUAGAGUGCAGGGGAGGUACGUGGACUUCCUGGUGUGCCGGUAAAAUGCGUGGAUAUUAGGAGAAACACCAGUGGCAAGGGCGGCUUACUAGACUGUAACUGACGUUGAGGCUCAAAGGCGUGG